CGUGCAGCCGGGCCGGCAAGUCAGAUGUGAAAUCUGGAGGCUUAACCUCCAAACUGCAUUUGAAACUGUAGGUCUUGAGUACCGGAGAGGUUAUCGGAAUUCCUUGUGUAGCGGUGAAAUGCGUAGAUAUAAGGAAGAACACCAAUGGCGAAGGCAGGUCUCUGGGCCGUUACUGACGCUGAGGAGCGAAAGCGUGGGGAGCGAACA
rnacentral:rRNA from 1 species